AUUGAACGCUGGCGGCAGGCCUAACACAUGCAAGUCGAACGAGUGGCGGACGGGUGAGUAAUGUCUGGGAAACUGCCCGAUGGAGGGGGAUAACUACUGGAAACAGUAGCUAAUACCACAUACCAUCGGAUGUGCCCAGAUGGGAUGAGCUUGUAGGUGGGGUAACGGCUCACCUAGGCGACGAUCCCUAGCUGGUCUGAGAGGAUGACAAGCCACACUGGAACGGAGACACGGUCCAGACUCCUACGGGAGGCAGCAGGGGGGAAUAUUGCACAAUGGGCGCAAGCCUGAUGCAGCCAUGCCGCGUGUAUGAAGAAGUCCGUCGGGUUGUAAAGUACUUUCAGCGAGGAGGCGUUACUCGCAGAAGAAGCACCGGCUAACUCCGUGCCAGCAGCCGCGGUAAUAC
rnacentral:rRNA from 1 species